AUUGAACGCUGGCGGCAGGCCUAACACAUGCAAGUCGAACGAGUGGCGGACGGGUGAGUAAUGUCUGGGAAACUGACUGAUGGAGGGGGAUAACUAAUGGAAACGGUAGCUAAUACAGCAUACCAUCGGAUGUACCCAGAUGGGAUUAGCUAGUAGGUGGGGUAAAGGAUCACCUAGGCGACGAUCCCUAGCUGGUAUGAGAGGAUGACCAGCCAAAAGGGAACUCAGACACGUUCAAGAAUCCUACGGGAGGCAGCAGUGGGGAAUAUGGCACAAUGGGCGCAAGCCGGAUGCAGCCAUGCCGCGUGUAUGAAGAAGGCCUUCGGGUUGUAAAGUACUUUCAGCGGGGAGGCGUUAACCGCAGAAGAAGCACCGGCUAACUCCGUGCCAGCAGCCGCGGUAAUUC
rnacentral:rRNA from 1 species